GCGGACGUGGCGGAAUUGGUAUACGCGCAUGCUUGAGGUGCAUGUGCCGCAAGGCUUGAGGGUUCGAGUCCCUCCGUCCGCACCA
rnacentral:tRNA from 3 species